rnacentral:rRNA from 1 species
UUGGUGGCAUAUCAAUAAGCGGAGGAAAAGAAACCAACAGGGAUUGCCUUAGUAACGGCGAGUGAACAGGCAAGAGCUCAGAUUUGAAAGCCUUUUUGGCAUUGUAUUCUGAAGUAUUUAUCCUGAGUAAUGAUGUCUAAGUCUUCUGGAAAGGAGCGCCAUGGAGGGUGAUAGCCCCGUGUGACAUCCCACUCAUUGUAGGAUUUAUACGUGGAGUCGAGUUGUUUGGGAAUGCAGCCCUCAAACGGGUGGUAUGCUCCAUCUAAAGCUAAAUAUCUGUGAGAGACCGAUAGCGAACAAGUACUGUGAAGGAAAGAUGAAAAGAACUUUGAAAAGAGAGUGAAAAAGUACGUGAAAUUGUUGAAAUGGAAGGGUAGGCCGCUAACCAUGUAGAACCGUGUUUGGGGGGAAGAUAAAAGCUGAAGAAUGUGGCUCCUCGGAGUGUUAUAGCUUCAGUCAAUAUUCCCAUACCGAGCGCGAGGAUCUCAGGUUCUACUAAAUGGUGSUMYAYCACCCGUCUUGAAACACGGACGCAACCAA